CCCGCCACCGGAAGUGCCGUCGGAGCGUUCCAGCAUGGAGCGCGAGCCGAGCGCCACGGCAGCCGCCCCUGCUGCGGCCGCGCUCUUCGCCUGGGGUGCAAAUAGCUAUGGGCAACUUGGCCUUGGCCACAAGGAAGAUGUGCUUUUGCCCCAGCAGCUGAGCGACUUCUGUAAUCCUGGAUGUGUCAAGAGGAUCACGGGAGGAGGGGGUCACUCUGCUGUUGUCACAGAUGAAGGAAGCCUUUUUGUCUGUGGCCUGAACAAAGAUGGGCAACUGGGGCUUGGUCACACCGAGGAUGUCCUGUACUUUACCCCCUGCAAAUCCCUCCUUGGAUGUCCCAUCCAACAGGUGGCCUGUGGCUGGGAUUUUACCAUUAUACUUACAGAAAAUGGUCAAGUUCUAUCAUGUGGAUCCAAUUCCUUUGGCCAAUUAGGAAUUCCUCAUGGGCCUCGAAGAUGUGUGGUCCCCCAGGCCAUUGAGCCCCUGAGAGAGAAGGUUGUUAGUAUUGCUGCUGGACUCAGGCAUGCUUUAGCUGCAACAGCUGGUGGCAUGGUGUUCCAGUGGGGAACUGGUUUGGCAUCAUCUGGACGGCGGUUGUGCCCUGGGCAGACUCUCCCACUGUUUUUGACAGCAAAGGAACCAAGCAGAGUGACAGGCCUAGAGAAUUCUCAAGCAGUAUGUGUUCUUGCUGGCUCAGACCACUCAGCUUCACUGACAGAUGCAGGAGAGCUGUUUGUUUGGGGAAGCAACAAGCAUGGGCAACUGGCUUCCCACGCUGCUUUCCUUCCUGUGCCCCAGAAGAUAGAAGCACAUUGUUUUCAGAAUGAAAAGAUCGCUGCUGUCUGGAAUGGGUGGACACACCUAGUUGCUCAGACAGAAACUGGCAAGGUGUUUACCUGGGGCCGAGCAGACUACGGUCAACUGGGGAGGACAUUGGAGUCUCAUGAAGGCUGGAAACCAAAGAAGCAGGAUCCAUCCGUCCGCUGCUCCAGGCCAUCAAAGAGCACACCUUCCUCUCUGCAUUGCUUAACGGGAGCAACUGAGGUCUCCUGUGGCUCAGAGCAUAAUCUGGCAGUGAUUGAUGUGGAAACUGAGUCACAGGGAAAUUGAGACUUAUGCAAGAGCACACAGCUCAUGUGUAGUGGAGCCAGAUUUUGAAUCCUGUGUGAGACUUCAAAGCUGAUAACCGGAUGACCAGUUCAUCAAACCGUGCUGGAGAUGAGAAAAAUGAGACUACAAGAAGAGCGUGACUUACCCAGUGGCAGAGCCAGGCUAGGGUGGCCAGUGCCCGCUGAGCCCAAGCCUCACCUCCAGCCUUCCAGAGGCUGCCUCCUCUCUCAGCACACUGAUGACCCCCUCGCGGAACCCUUUCUACAUUUGGCUUCUCUAACGCUGAACUUUCCUGAAUCUCUCCUACCUACAUCGCCAACCCCUGCUUCUGGGCUCCCUUACCAGCCUCAGAGCCUGCGGCCUGGGAGUGGAAGAAGCUGUGCCUCAGAGGUAGCUAACCUGAUAGCUGAGCCUCAGAAGGUGAAUAGAAUUGGAUUCAUUAUACCAAGACCUCCAAAUAGAUGGCCGAGAAGGAGUGGAAACAGAGCAGGUAGAGUUUGCUCUGAGCUCUCAAACAAGCAGAUACAGACAAACCACGGUGAACCUAGAAGGGAAGGGGAGCCGGUGGCGGUGGCCGGGGAGCAGUUGCGCCGUGAGCUCACAGAAGCCGCGCAGAGGGGCCGGCCUCCCCUCGUGCCGCAAAGCCCCUCUGUACCUCUGCCCUUUGCCUGUGUCCUCCAUUUAGCCCGUGGAAAGAAUCUCAAGUGGGGAGGAAGAGAGGAUCUUUCUGAUGAUCUAGUGGGGCGAGGGGAUUGAGUUCACAGCAGAGAGGUCAGCACUGGGAGGCACAGCACUUUUUCAGUGACCAGAAUGUCACUCCGGGUGGGGAAGAUGCUGUGGGUAGACAAGGCUGUAGCCAGCUCCUAAAGUGCCUGUUUGUCUGUGGCUUUACCCUUCUCUCCAUCACAGUCUGGGAACCAGUACCUUGAAGCACUUGAUUAAUUAAUAAGUUUUCUGCACUAUAAUGAUUCCCUAGGUUGGAGGUGCUCAGAGGUAGGAGGGUAGGUCAAAUGUAGGUCAGAGGCGAGCAGAGGAUGAGAAUACUGUUCUUGAUUAUGAAAACCUAUAUCCAUUUUGUGUAUCCAUGUAUAAUUUUAGUCUCUUAAAUUGAUCUGUAUUAUUUUCCACACUGUACUUUUGUAGAACAUAAUUUUCCAGUAGGCAUGUAACAUCAUUCUCAAAGAACUACCUAAUGCAUGUACAUAAACUAUGCCAUAUGUGCACUUAUAAAUGUAUAUAUCAUGCUUAAAAA